GGGCCUGUAGCUCACCUGGUAGAGCGCCUCAAUGGCAUUGAGGAGGCAGCCGGUUCGAUCCCGGCCAGGUCCA
rnacentral:tRNA from 1 species